rnacentral:rRNA from 1 species
GUGCCAGCCGCCGCGGUAAUACAGAGGUGGCAAGCGUUGUCCGGAAUUAUUGGGCGUAAAGCGCGUGUAGGCGGCUUUGCAAGUCGGGUGUGAAAGCCCUCGGCUCAACCGAGGAAGUGCGCCCGAAACUGCAGAGCUUGAGUACCGGAGAGGAUGGCGGAAUUCCCCAAGUAGAGGUGAAAUUCGUAGAUAUGGGGAGGAACACCGGUGGCGAAGGCGGCCAUCUGGACGGAUACUGGCGCUGAGACGCGAAAGCGUGGGUAGCAAACAGGAUUAGAAACCCGAGUAGUCC